rfam:Sphaerobolus stellatus SS14 unplaced genomic scaffold SPHSTscaffold_6, whole genome shotgun sequence.
UGCCCCAUGGCUUAGUUGGCUAUAGCGUCCGACUGUUAUGACAUUAGUUUGGCAAAUCGGAAGGUCGAGAGUUCGAGCCUCUCUGGGGCAG